GAACGGGUGAGUAACGUGGGCAAUCUGCCCUGCACUCUGGGACAACCCUGGAAACGGGUAAUACCGGAUACUAGCCUCGCAGGCUGGGGUUCGAAAGUCCGGCGGUGCAGGAUGAGCCCGCGGCCUAUCAGCUUGUUGGUGAGGUAACGGCUCACCAGGCGACGACGGGUAGCCGGCCUGAGAGGGCGACCGGCCACACUGGGACUGAGACACGGCCCAGACUCCUACGGGAGGCAGCAGUGGGGAAUAUUGCACAAUGGGCGAAAGCCUGAUGCAGCGACGCCGCGUGAGGGAUGACGGCCUUCGGGUUGUAAACCUCUUUCAGCAGGGAAGAAGGACGGUACCUGCAGAAGAAGCGCCGGCU
rnacentral:rRNA from 1 species